rnacentral:rRNA from 1 species
GACGAACGCUGGCGGCGUGCUUAACACAUGCAAGUCGAACGGAGUGGCGAACGGGUGAGUAACCCGUGGGUGCUCCGCCUUGCACUUUGGGAUAAGCUUGGGAAACUGGGUCUAACACCGGAUAGUGCAAGAUGAGCUCGCGGCCUAUCAGCUUGUUGGUGGGGUAAUGGCCUACCAAGGCGUCGACGGGUAGCCGGCCUGGGCGGGUGUACGGCCACCUGGGGACUGAGAUACGGCGCAGACUCCUACGUGGGGCAGCAGUGGGGAACAUUGUGCAAUGGGCGGAAGCCUGAUGCAGAGACGCCGGGUGGGUGAUGAAGGCCUUCGGGUUGUAAACUGCUGUCGACAAGGACGCGGUACCUGUAGAAGAAGCACCGGCUAACUACGUGCCAGCAGCCGCGGUAAUAC